rnacentral:misc_RNA from 1 species
AACGCACAUUGCGCCCGCUAGUAUUCUGGCGGGCAUGCCUGUUCGAGCGUCAUUUCAACCCUCAAGCCCAGCUUGGUGUUGGGGACCGGCCGCGGCCUAACCGCCGCGGCCGCCCCCGAAAUACAGUGGCGGUCUCGCUGCAGCCUCCCUUGCGUAGUAGCACACCUCGCACCGGAGCGCAGCGCGGCCACGCCGUUAAACCCCCAAACUUCUGAAUGUUGACCUCGGAUCAGGUAGGAAUACCCGCUGAACUUAA